UGCUGGAAUGCUGAGGAGACAGGAGUGAAGUAAAAAGACAUGGUUCCGGCAGGAAACAGGCAAGGAGAGCCUUGACUUGACGGAGUCUGGCUAUAUCGCCAGGCUGGAAUGCAAUGGCGCGAUCUCUCCUCACUGCAACCUCCGCCUCCCGGGUUCAAGCGAUUCUCCUGCCUCAGCACCUCGAGUAGCUGGGACUACAGGCGCGCGCCACCACGCCCAGAUGAGAAAACUGAGGCACAGAGAGGUGAAAUAAGGAAUGAAAUAUUACUGGAUGAAAUAAUUAUACUGAUCCUAGCCUUAUUUUAAAAGGGCCCCCAGAAUGCUCUUCUCCAAGACUUAGAAAAAUCAAAUGCUAUCCAUCCCUCAAGAUACAUCCCUCCAGCCCCUCCUUGAAGUCUCCUGCAGCUAGAAGUAGAAGUAGCAUCUAUCCCCAUCUGGACUCCUUAGCACUUUGCUGUACCUGCCUUAGUCCCCAUCUCUUUACACACACACACACACACACACACACACACACAGAGUAUUAUAAUACUAUUACCUAUUAUAUUACAUUAUAUUAUUGUAGUUCUACAGGAACUACAAGGAAUUCUACUGUGAAUUCCUUAAGGGUGGGAUACAUUUUACAAUCAUCACUGUUUCUCUCAUUAGUUGUGGAAUCAAAAAAAUGAGUGCACGAUGAAAAAUUAUUCAAACACAUACAUGCUUUCAUUCCAAUUGAAAAUGUAAAAAUAUUACUGUUAAAACAAUAUUAAAGGACAUGUAAUACAAUUCAAAUAUUCCUACCAUGCACGAUUGUUUUCACUUCUUUGUGCCUCUUUCACCAUUUAUUUGUGUGCAUACUCAGCAUAUUUGUUUGUGUAACAGGAUGUUAAAAAUAGAAUUUGUUGCCUGUAGUUUUUGCUAAAGCUCUACUAGACUGGAACAGA
rnacentral:lncRNA from 10 species